rnacentral:misc_RNA from 1 species
UUUGGAGAUUAAGCCCACAGUGAUGCUCAUUAAUGGAGGUCAUCGUGAAGAUGCUAGGCUAAAAAACUAUCAAGGUUUGGUGAGGAUUCUGGAUUGGUUUUCGACUUUUAUUUUUUGUUAAGUUGGGUUGCAUUGAGGUUGGAGAGAGUUUGAAGAAUAGGCAUAUUCAUGAAGAUUAGAGUCUGCCCUUUGUUGUUGUCAUAUUAUGUUGGAAGUGGCCAUCUACAAACAACAGUUUGAUUGAGAGUUUGUGAUCUAUUCUCUUUUGUAGCUGGGAGUUUGCAUAGUUUUCACUUGGCAGGUGAUCGAAGUAGGGGAAUGUCUGUCAUAUUGUCUUUUAUUGCCACUGUUAUUUUGCACGCUUGUCUUUGUCAGAUUGGAGUCUGCAGAAAUCCUGGAAAAUAAGCUGUAGAAAAUAGUAUGCAUCAAAGAAACAAACCUUGAGCACAGAUGAAAGUUGUUGAAGUGGCUAAGUGAGCUUUUUCCUUCGGUUGUAAGAGGAUUGUUGCUGCAGAAUGUUGUGAUAUUAGGUAAUUUCCCCUCAGUUACAGUCUGUAAGUGAUGAGAGUUGUCCAUGGAUUUUAGUUGUUUUUUGUAGCUGGUCUAGGGAUGGCCGUGGUCCGGCAGUUCAGUGGUUUAAGUUAACCGGAUCAAAUCACAGGGUCUUUGGUUGGGUUUGAUUAUUAUAUUUUUUAAUGUUGUAAUUAUUAUAAAAAAAAAAUUAAACAUUUUUUGGUCCGUUUACAAGUUUGUUUCUUAUUAUUAAUUAAUUAUAGAUUAUAGAUUAAUUUUGCAAAACUAACAAGUUAAUAAAG